UGCGCGCGCGUAAGUGUGAGUGAGUGUCUUGUGUGCGUGUUCUUUCAUUCGUUCAGUUUAACUUAAAAGUACUUAACUAAAACUAUAAUAAAUAAAAAAAUACUAUAGACUUUUAACUAAUAAAAAUGAAAAAACAAAUUACUAAAACUUUAAACAAGAACAAAAUAAAAAUCUAAAAAUGACUAAUUCAAAGCACAAUAGUUGUCCCGUGAGCGCGCAGCGCGCAUCCUGUGUGCAGUUCCUUUCUCGGCCGCAGGAGGCGAUCGUCAUCCAAUCAGCGCGCGUGUCUGUGUGCUCGUGCUCGCUCUCAGCGCGCGUGUGCUUGAUGACGAGCGGAUGUGUUAUCGAUUAUGAUUGUGUGAUUGAAUGAUUAUAUCGCGCUUCUCUUCAAUGUCUGAUCAGAGUGUUUGAUGAAGCGGAAGCAGCAGAAGUUCUGCCGCUGUUUGUCUGCUCCGGGGAUCCAGAGGAACGCUUUUGAGGUGAAAAUCAACCGAAAGAAAGUUCGAUGUUCUGGGGCGCAGGAGCAAACACUCCGUGGGUCUCGAGGUCCAGAGCUAUCCGAUAGGAAGGAGACUCUCCUGAAGGACACAAACAGCUCGUUCAUCGACAGACGCUUCGGCUGCCGCUCAUUGAUCUGGAUCUGGUGAAGAGAUGCACGUCGCUCUAUAAAGACCUGCUGUCAUUCGCUCACAUCUUCCAGCCAAUCAGAGCGCUGCUUCUCCAGCAUCUUCCUGUGGAGAGUCACCCGGUCC